rnacentral:rRNA from 1 species
UACGUAGGGGGCAAGCGUUGUCCGGAAUUAUUGGGCGUAAAGAGCGCGUAGGCGGUCUGAUAAGUCGGUUGUGAAAGUCGGGGGCUCAACCCUCGGAUGCCGAUCGAUACUGUCAGGCUAGAGUCCGGAAGAGGCGAGUGGAAUUCCUGGUGUAGCGGUGAAAUGCGCAGAUAUCAGGAGGAACACCAAUGGCGAAGGCAGCUCGCUGGGACGGUACUGACGCUGAGGCGCGAAAGCGUGGGGAGCGAACAGG